CAUUCGAGUAGCCUAGGCUUGACUUGUUAUAUCUUACCCAUUGUUUUUUGCGUACCUAUUGUUUCCUCGGUGGGCUUCGCCCACCGAUUGGACAAAACUAUAAACCCUUUUGAAAGUCUGCAAUCAGCGUCUGAAAUUAUACAUAAUAGUUA
rnacentral:misc_RNA from 1 species